rnacentral:rRNA from 1 species
UACGUAGGGUGCGAGCGUUGUCCGGAAUUAUUGGGCGUAAAGAGCUCGUAGGCGGUUUGUUGCGUCGGCUGUGAAAUCCCGAGGCUCAACCUCGGGUCUGCAGUCGAUACGAGCAAACUAGAGUGUUGCAGGGGAGACUGGAAUUCCUGGUGUAGCGGUGAAAUGCGUAGAUAUCGGGAGGAACACCAGUGGCGAAGGCGACUACCUGGCCUGUUCUUGACGCUGAGGCGCGAAAGCUGGGGGAGCAAACCGGG